AUCGCGGUGGUGGUUACGGCAAUCGCGGUGGCGGCUAUGGCAAUCGCGGUGGUGGUGAUCGUGACCGGCGCGGUGGCUCUGGCGGCCGCCGGUUCUAAAUUGGAUCGUCAAUAAAUCAAGGAGUUUCUAGAAAUGGCUGAACGCAUCAUUGGUACGGUGAAGUGGUUCAAUAACGAAAAGGGUUACGGUUUCAUUGCCCAGGAAAAUGGCCCAGACGUUUUUGUCCACCACACCGCCAUUCAAAGUGAAGGCUUCCGCACGCUGAAGGAAGGCCAAAAGGUCGAGUUCUCGAUCGAACAGGGUCCCAAGGGCCCGCAGGCAACCAACGUCAUCGCAAUGUAGCGAUCAACUCUCAAACGCUGAAAUCAAAAACCUCUCCGGAAACGGAGAGGUUUUUUU
rnacentral:other from 1 species